UGGGGAAUUUUGGACAAUGGGCGAAAGCCUGAUCCAGCAAUGCCGCGUGUGUGAAGAAGGCCUUCGGGUUGUAAAGCACUUUUGUCCGGAAAGAAAUCCUUGGCUCUAAUACAGUCGGGGGAUGACGGUACCGGAAGAAUAAGCACCGGCUAACUACGUGCCAGCAGCCGCGGUAAUACGUAGGGUGCAAGCGUUAAUCGGAAUUACUGGGCGUAAAGCGUGCGCAGGCGGUUUGCUAAGACCGAUGUGAAAUCCCCGGGCUCAACCUGGGAACUGCAUUGGUGACUGGCAGGCUAGAGUAUGGCAGAGGGGGGUAGAAUUUCCACGUGUAGCAGUGAAAUGCGUAGAGAUGUGGAGGAAUACCGAUGGCGAAGGCAGCCCCCUGGGCCAAUACUGACGCUCAUGCACGAAAGCGUGGGGAGCAAACAGGAUUAGAUACCCUGGUAGUCCACGCCCUAAACGAUGUCAACUAGUUGUUGGGGAUUCAUUUCCUUAGUAACGUAGCUAACGCGUGAAGUUGACCGCCUGGGGAGUACGGUCGCAAGAUUAAAACUCAAAUGAAUUGACGGGGUCAUAGCUGUUUCCU
rnacentral:rRNA from 1 species